rnacentral:rRNA from 1 species
UACGGAGGGGGCUAGCGUUGUUCGGAAUUACUGGGCGUAAAGCGCACGUAGGCGGCUUUGUAAGUUAGAGGUGAAAGCCCGGGGCUCAACUUCGGAAUUGCCUUUAAGACUGCAUCGCUAGAAUUGUGGAGAGGUAAGUGGAAUUCCGAGUGUAGAGGUGAAAUUCGUAGAUAUUCGGAAGAACACCAGUGGCGAAGGCGGCUUACUGGACACAUAUUGACGCUGAGGUGCGAAAGCGUGGGGAGCAAACAGG